AAUUCCCAGGGGAACUCGCUCUCUUUGGUUCCGGUCAGUGCGCAGUGCAGCCUCCCCUGCCCAGCCACGAGCUGGGUGGGGAAGGGGAAACCCCAUGGCCUGAUGGAGGACGGUGAAAACAGCCUUUCAAAUCUGAUUGUUCAAAUGAAAACUGCGAUUCAUAUUUUUUCACCUCCCAGCUGCUGUAUUAACCUCAGUUAAUGUCAAGAAUGGGAGAACAUCACUACAGCUCUGUAUCUGCUUUUGAGUGACCACACUUCAUCCUACUACACAGACAAAAGGCUCAAUAUAUUAUAAAUGGAAUGUUACUUUCUUGCCUUGAAUGGCUUGUCUAAGCCUGUAGUAAAAGGAUGAAAAUGUACAUUGAUUAUCAGCAAUAUACUUUGUCCAUUCUGGGGAUAAAUACCCAAGUCCAGUCUGUGAGUUUGUAAUUUCGCAAUCUUCCAUGAGCAUUCAGUUGACAUGGAUUUCACAAUGCAGUCACACCACUAGAAGGACUACAGUGGCAAUGUUAAAUUUUUUUGAAAUUAAUUUGAAAUUGACAUUCAUUUUAUUAUGACCAGGCUUUCCUGCUGCAGGGGUGAACUAACUGAUGUCUUUAGAAAGCUUUCCUAUUUGAUCACGGCACUUCAUUAGGUGAAGAUGAGGGUCUACAAGAAGAUGGCAUCCACCUAAUAAUGGAAGAUCCCUGUGAAUAGACUUAAUAGUGAAAGAAGACAUUCUUAAAUUAUGCUCAAGAAGAGAGACCUCAAUGUGGAGUCAAGUAAAAGUGCUGCCUGUGUUGGAGGUGGCAUGAGAGAAGAAUACAAGGAGGAUUUUCACUAUUCAAAAUAAAGGACAUUCAAAGGACAUAUCUCAAAUGUAUAGAUACUGGUGCUCAGAGCUUGAAGCACAAGCAAGAAGCAGCGAAGUUAAGGAGCUUCUUCAACAUCAGCAGUGAAUAUCCAUGUAGCUGAUGACAGGACAUUUUCAUUCAUAUACCAAUUGAACUUACUCAAGACGGAAACUGCAGAUACACAGACAUUCUGCCUGUCAUAAAGUGUAACUGCUGUAAUAAUUUUCUCCAUUAUUUUGUUGGAUGAGUACCACAUAGGGAAGAAGAGAUCUCUCUCUUUUUCAACCUGAUACAUUGCCAUUGGAAGACUCAAACUGAAGACACCUUAUAUCCCUUUUUACAUGAGUUCUGCAUGUGGAAAAUCAAAUGAAAGGAAUUCUACUAGGAAUGAGUUGCAUGGAUAUCCUUUAAGAGUUAAAUUUUAAUCCCAGACUUGCAGGUGGUGGACGUGGGGUGAUGGAGGUGCAGCAGCAUCACUUCUUUAGGGAUCUGCAUGGAGUAUCUGCCUCUUGUGGUGUUGAAGAUUGCUCCAAGGAUGCAGUUACAGCUGUUUGAUCCCACCAGAGACAUAAAGACCCCACAGGAAGAAGACCUGAUGGUUCAUCAGACAUGGGCAGUAUUUUAUAGGGUUCAAGAGUAAAUCACCUUUUCAAGAGAAUGAGUCCCUCCUUUAAAGGAUAUUAAGGAGCUUUGUGUAUGAAACCAUAUCAGAUAAUAAUUGUUCAAAUAUUAGUAAAAAAUCCAUUCACUUUCAGAAAUGUGUUGGGAGUUUCUCCUCCAUUCCUCUCAAAAAAGGAGAGUUCAUCUCUGUUAUAUUUUUCUAGAUGCUGUAAUCCCAGCAGCAGUGGUUUUUUGUUUACACAAGCUUGUGUGCAGCUGUGUAUUGAUGGUGUUCUGCUGAUCUGUAUGCUGUAAGAUGUGUUUAUGACAACAGUGCUUUUUCUUAAACAAAUAUGUCAUUAUUUCUGAAAUAUUCAGCUGUUCUCUGUCUAUAUUUGGAGUUCAUCUGUUUGUGAAGUUAUUUGUGAACUGAAUUAAUUCUAUUUUAUGUUUGGAAGUGUUAAUUUAAAUCUUCUUUUAAUAGAACUAUUAUUUUUAGGGCGAAAACUUUAAUAUAUUCCCUUUAUUGUCCUUUAAUGUUUUUCCCAAAGUUGUUAUCAGCCAAAGGAACAUACUGGUACAGCUACAAGGCAGCCUAUGCACAAUUCAAAAAUAGCUAAUUUCAAGUGAGCAAACCAGUGUGAGUUCAUGGAAUAGCGAUGUUAUUUCACUUACUGUAUUAAUGGUUGUUCUCUUGAUGAUCAUUCUAGCUGUUGGACUGAAAACGGAUACAAAUCUGUGCACCUGGUCUCAAACCUGUCCCUACACUGCUUAUGAGUAGCACUCUGCCUAUGAAGCCACAACCUACUCACACUGAUGUCACCAGUGAAAGCAGAACCUCUCCCAGUGAAAGGUCUCUCUAAGGCCCCUGUUUAUUCCUGCACUCUCCCAUCAAAUAAGGCCAUUUGCUCCCUGAGAGAUGACUCCUUCUGAAGGACCAUCUCUAUCCACCAUCUCUAUGUGGUUGCAAUUGACAGAAGGGCAAUAAAAAUCAUAGUGUUAUUUUAUUGGAUAACAGUGAGCCAAAUCUGGACAUUUUAGUUGUUAGUUGAACUCAAUGCAUGUGUACAAAAUCCUUUCACAUAUCUUUGUGGGUUAUGCUGCAUUUUAAAAUGUGUGAAGUGUUGCCAUGGACAUUUGUCCUGCAGUGAAAUGCUAACUGAUUAAAAAGAGAAAUUUGAGGAGAUUUUUUUUUUAAUUACAAGGUUUAAUAAACUUUAAAAAAGUAUUUUACCAAUCCUUCAGAAAUUUGCUGCAUGCAAAAACAGUGAAUAAAUCUAUAACAUGUUCUGUUUCCACAAUGUUCAGUUAUCAGAGAAGUCAACAUGCAGGGGAAAUCUGUGGAGCAAAUGAAAAUAUGAGGAGGCAUACCCACACAAUUUCUCACUUAAAUAAUGCAGGAAAUGAGAGUAAUGAAGACAUGAUCAGUUCUAGCUUGGACGCUCUAGUACAGACACAGUUUUAUGAGCAGUCUAAGCUGAUACUCGAUAUCUGCAAUACUGCAUAUUCUGUUCAGCUAAUGGGUACUGAGUAGAUAAAUCAAGCUAAAGUCAAAUACAGAGUCAGGGUAAUAAUCUCUUGAACUACUUCAGUAAGGUCUCAUCUGCCACAAUGACAUUUCUGUCAUUACGUAUUAUUCUUACUCAAGCUAGAAGGAAUGAUUCUUGAUUUCUUCUUCCUAUCCACACCACCAAUGUUAGUUUCUGUCACUUGUACCAGUUGCAUACUGGGAUUAUAAUUUAACUGUUAAGGGUACCAGUAGAAAAAUAAAGAUUCCUACCAAGUCACUA